UAGCCCUGUUUUUUUAAGAACAUUUUAUUAAUGAUAAUUAUAUUUAUUAAGUUAAUUAUAUUUCGGAAAUAUUUACUUUUUUUUUUUUUUUUUUUUGAAUAGUCGGAAAUAUUUACUUUAUUUGUGAUGUGGAAUGUGAAUUAUAUUGUUGUGUUCGUAAAAUAUAUAUUUAUUUAAUUUUAUGGUGUUAUUAUUGAUAUAUUUUGCAUUUUAAGUUUAAGUUGAGCGGUAAUUGACCCAAUAAGGAAGCGAAAGUUGGUUUCCUUCUCGAACCAUCAAAUGACUCUUCUUAUUUUGUCGGUUUAAUGAACAAAACCCAACUCCCUCCUUUAUCUCGUCAUUUCUCUCAUAACCCCAAAAGCCAAACUCGAGAAACCCAAAAACCGCAACCCGGCGACGAAACCCGACUCCUCUUUCUCAUCUGUUCGUUGCCUUCACGCCGGAGCCCAAGCUCGCCGGAGUUUCCCCUUGUCGUUACUGUUGAUGUCUCGUUUUCUCUCUCCUCCUCUGUUUCGUCGCUGUUGUUUUUAGCGGUGCUGCCGCUCAGUCUUCAAGCCGGUUCGUGGUGGUUGAGCCACCGCGGCUGGUGUCGUUGCUGUGGUUGUUUUGUUGAUGCUGCUGCUUUGCGUCGCACCACGGCACGGGAACCGCCGGAGCUCUGCUCCCUUGUUUGUCUCUGCUCAACAGAGCAAAGGUAUAAUAUACCUUUUUCUUUUUUGUUUCUGAUUUUCUAUUUAUAAAUUAAGCUAAGUUGUUUCUUUUGUUUGUUGUUGUUGUCUUGUAAGUAUGGUUCUAAGUCACUGGUUUUAGUAGAGCAUUGAGCUCCUGAAGGUAAAAAUGGAUUGAUUUUCAAAGUAUUGAUCUUUGCUUGACUUUGAUUUAUUUAGCAAGGAUUAGUGUGAGUUUGAGUCCAGUAUUAUUUUCUUAUUUUCUUAAUUUUGAAGCCAAAUUAGUAUCUUUUGGUUCUAUAUAGGUUGUGAGCUAAAUUUUGUUUGACAGAUUGAUUAAGUUAAGAGUUAUAGUUCUUAAUUGAGGAUAAAGGAAAUUAGAAUGAUAGGUGGAGGUAACUUCUAAAUUGGGAACUGGUCAUGGUUUCACUUGGUAGUUGAUUUUAGUUUGAAAAUAGUUGUUAAUAAUGGUUAUGUUGUUGUGAGGUGGAUUAUUGUGGAGUUGAAGCCAAAGUUGGUGAUCAAUAGUUGAGGAUUAUUCUUGAUGGUGUAUUCUUAAGGAAUUGGAUAACGUUUCAGGUUUGAUAUUCAGAGCUCGAAAUUGGAAGUGAAGCAAGAUUAUGAUGUCGUCGUAGAUUAAGGAUUGAGUUUGUAUUCUAGAUAGUUGUUUAUAUAUCGUUGUAUAUAAUAUUUGGGAAUUUACUAGAGAUAUUGGUGUAAUUAAGGUUGUUUUUCCGCUGUGAUUUUAUUUAAUUAAGAGUUAAUUAUUGGUUA